rnacentral:rRNA from 1 species
UGCGUAGGCGGAAUUUUAAGUCAGUGGUGAAAUCCUGCAGCUCAACUGUAGAACUGCCAUUGAUACUGAUCUUCUUGAAUUUAGUUGAGGUGGGCGGAACGUGUAAUGUAGCGGUGAAAUGCUUAGAUAUUACACAGAACACCGAUUACGAAGGCAGCUCACUAAACUAACAUUGACGCUGAGGCACGAAAGCGUGGGUAGCGAACAGGAUUAGAUACCCUGGUAGUCC